rnacentral:lncRNA from 1 species
UGAAUGUUUGCAGUAUCUUGAUUUGUAACAGCCCAAAAUGGGAAACAAUUCAAACAUCCAUCAACAAAUGAAGGGGUAAACAAUGUGUGUUAGAGCCACACAAUGGAAUACUACACAGCAAUAAAACGGGGGUGAGCUAUUGAUACAUGCAGCCACAUGGAUGAAUCUUAAAAUAAUUCUGCUGAGUGAAAGGAGCCAGACAAAAAAAAGAAUACAUACUGUGUUAUUCCAUUUGUGUAAAAUUCUAGAAAAUGCCAAGUAAUCAAUAGUGAUAGAAAACAGAUUUGUAGUUCAUUGGGAACUUGGAGGGGGGCAGAAUUGCAAAGAGACUCGGGAAAGUUCUCGAGUGAUAGAGAUGUUUACUAUCUUGAUUGCGGUAGUUUCAUGGGUAUAUACUUAUGUCAAAACCUAUCGAGUUGUACUUUUUUUUUUAAAGAUUGGCACCUGAGCUAACAUCUGUUGCCUAUCUUCAUUUUUUUUCCUUCUUCUCCCCAAGACCCCCAAAACAUAGUUGUAUGUUCUAGUUGUAGGUCCUUCUGGUUGUGCUCUGUGGGACGUCGCCUCACGGUGGCUUGAUGAGCGGUGCUAGGUCCACACCUGGGAUCCAAACCAACGAAACCCUGGGCCGCCAAAGCAGAGCGUGGGAACAUAACCACUCGGCCACGGGACCAGCACCAAGUUGUACAUUUUUAAUAUGUGCAGCUAAUUAUAUGUCAAUUAUAUGUAAACACAGCUAUUUCUAAAAAACAAGUGGGAGGUGGCCAAUUGCAAUGUUAUGUCUGGGGCGCAGCCUCAGACAUGCCAGUGGACUGCACUCUGUGUCUCAGCUCCCGGCCCGGGGCCAGGCUCAGUGGGCACAACCAAUGUUGCUGGACUUAAAAUGAAUAAAUAUUGGCCUAUCUGACUCAUCCAGCCCUGGAGAAACCUUUCCUCCUGGUUCUGGCUUAGUCACAUCUGCUGAGAUGUUUAACAACACUCAUAGCUUUAGGGUGAUUAAUCUGAUCAGUAUUAACCACCUAAGCAGAACAGCGAGCAGAGUAUACCUCAGCCCACUCCCUGUCCCCCCUCCACCUCCUGCUCCCAGCCCUUCAGAGGACUUACUCCUCAGAGGCUCCUCAGCACCCAGGAUUGGUCCCAAGAGAAGGGGAUGACCUUCUCAGUGAGGCGGAGCUGGAGCUGCCUCUCCUCCCUGCACAUCUGCGUCCCUGUUGGGAGGGGUGUCCCUGGGGCAGGGAGGGCAGGGAGGGGAGGCACGGUCCCUGAGCACAGCCUCCUGCCCUCUAGGCUGCAGGAUAAGUGCCAGGGACUCUGGGUCCCUUACCCUCUGGGACUCUUGUCUGCCAUCCACUCCCCACAAGACAAGGCCAACUGAGCAUCCCUGAGGGGAAGCAGCAACAAGGAGGAGAAAGGCCGAGGGAGCCGGCAGGGCGUCCUUUACUGACGACUCAUCAGCGGUGGAGGAGAAAGACCUUUGUGUUGGCCCCGUUGCCUGUCCCAGGGAGCUGAGCUAUGGUGGGGUCAGGGCACUCACGGUGGGCCACAAACACUUCCUGAGCCAGAACUCAGGCCGUGACUCAGGGACUCGGUAGGGCAGUCACCAGGCUCUGUGGGGCACCAACUCCCCUCUGAGAUGGAGGUCCAAAAAGCAUCAGGCUGCCCCAUACACAGGAAAAUGAGCCAGCCCCCAUGAGGAGCAGCAAAAGACCCAUCAUCCCAAGACGGCCCAAAAUACCCACCAGAAGAGCCUCUUGUGGAGUAAAGCACUGUGUGUCCACGGAUCCCUGAGAGCAAGCCAUACUUCCAUAGGCUAUUUCACCAUCCCGGGCAUUGUUUUAUGUGUAUAUAUGUUUUAUGUAUAUAUGUUCAUAUGUUUUAUAUGUAUCAAUUCAGUUAAAUCUCACAGCAACGCUGUGACAGAUAUACUAUUAUUCUCAUCCCCAUUUUAUAGAUGAGGAAAUGGAAGCUCAGAGAGGUUAGGUAAUUGCCCAAGGUCACACAGCUAGUAGCUGAGCCUGGAUUUGAACCCAGACAAUCGGCUCCAGAGGCCGUAUGCUGAACCACUGUGCUGUGUUCUCUCAGAGAGAUUAAAGGAUAUGCUCAAGGUGACCAGUGAGUAAAUAUAAAACUCAACACCAAGUCUUCUAACAGAUUGCAGUCUUAUUCCGCCUCUCUGCCUCUCCUUCUUGUUGUUACUCUCAUAGAGGCCCUCAGGAUGGUGAGGGCAGAGAGCUGGGGCAAUUCCCCUGCAUGGCACUGUGGGGUGAGGGCUCCUCUCUCCUCCAGGCCAGGGUUCUCCCAGGGAGCUUGAAGGGGUCUGAUUGACAUUGGUGAAAGGACCCUUUCCUGGUUGGUCAGGUCCCAGUUCUGUCCCCCAGGUCCAAUGGGACUGAAGCAAGCCCCAGCUGUGCCCCACCCUGGCCCUUGUCCCAGGAAGGUGGGGGAGACCCAGAUGGAGUCUGGGGCCCCACAGUAAGAACCUCAGUGCCGGGGAUCAGGCACCGAGAAGCCCAGGAAAACCACGCCCGACUUGAUCACCCAUUUAUGGGCAAGGUCUCCUGUGAGCUGGGGGCAAUGAUGGGGAGAAACAAGCCCACCACCGCCCCGCUCUGGGCCUAUAUGUUAUCACUAGCUUUUAGGAAAUGUCCCCUGAGUCAGCACCUAAUUCAGCCUCUGGGUCAGUAUCUGAUCUGUGUGUGGUCAGCCAUGAAGGUAGCAGGUCACCGUUUCCUGAGUUCACUUUGCCCGGUUUGCCCCUGGCGCCCUGCACCUUGCCCUCUGCCCACCAACCCUGAUGGGAUCCUCUCUCUCCAGCUUCCUCCAGAGACAGACAGCAAGCACGAUCCUGUUUCACAGAAGGAUAGGAUUUCUGAAUCCCAAGCAUCAGCUGGGCAGGCUCCUUCCUGCCAGUCCUCCUGUGUGCCCUGAGACCAGCACGUCCCUCGGCCAUGGAGAGCUGACCCAGCCGGAGCACCCAGGGCUCCCUCAGGCCCAACAAGAAGCACCUUCUCCUCCAUUGCUCCUGCUGCUUGCAGCAGGCGGGGAAGACUGAGAGUCUUCAUGCUGCUUCCCUGACUCCCCUACGAUGGAUGCGCGUGGCUGGAAAGAAAUGGAGGUUGCUCUGGUCAAUUUUGAUAACUCAGAUGAAAUCCAGGAAGAGCCAGACUAUGCCACAGAUUUUGACCCAACCAACCCAAAAGGCCAGUCUGGAAGCAGCCCCUUCUCCAACUGGAGGAUCCUCAUCAGUGACAGCACCAACCAUGAGACGACCUUCUCUAAGCUCCCAGGAGACUAUGUGG